rnacentral:rRNA from 1 species
UACGGAGGGUGCAAGCGUUGUCCGGAUUUAUUGGGUUUAAAGGGUGCGUAGGUGGCCUUAUAAGUCAGCGGUGAAAGUCUGCAGCUUAACUGUAGAACUGCCAUUGAUACUGUAAGGCUUGAGUACUGAUGAGGUAGGCGGAAUUGAUAGUGUAGCGGUGAAAUGCAUAGAUAUUACCAAGAACACCGAUUGCGAAGGCAGCUUACUAAGGAGUUACUGACACUGAGGCACGAAAGCGUGGGGAUCAAACAGG